rnacentral:sRNA from 1 species
GUCAACAACCCCUCUCUCAACGAAAGAUACUUGUCGGCAACUACAAAUCAGGUUGACCAGCGUAAGUUGCGGAGCAGUGGCAAUGCAAACGUGAGUGAUAGGCAAGACAAGACCCACUCCAGGGUGCUUCCUUAGUCCCGGACCCUGGAAGGAGGGGAUCAUGCAGGCAAAAGGCAAAGCACCGAAGGGAACCUUCUCCUACAUACGCGGAUAACCAGUCGCGCACAUUCCCAAGGGGAUCAAGUAGGGAACACCUA